rnacentral:rRNA from 14 species
GUCUUCAACCACACCAUGCUGAAUGUGCUCAAUCUUAUCUGAUCUCAGAAGCAAGGCAGGGUUGGGCCUGGUUAGUACUUAGAUGGUAGACAAGGAGGCUCAGCCUUAAUGAGA